AUUCAGCUGACAAAUUCCAAAUAGGACGAAACAUGCGUACUGGAU
rnacentral:hammerhead_ribozyme from 1 species